rnacentral:rRNA from 1 species
UACGGAGGGUGCAAACGUUGCUCGGAAUCAUUGGGCGUAAAGCGCACGUAGGCGGCCUGUUAAGUGCGUCGUGAAAGCCCCGGGCUCAACCUGGGAAUGGCGAUGGAAACUGGCGGGCUGGAGUAUGGCAGAGGGGGGUGGAAUUCCGCGUGUAGCAGUGAAAUGCGUAGAGAUGCGGAGGAACACCGAUGGCGAAGGCAGCCCCCUGGGCCAAUACUGACGCUCAUGCACGAAAGCGUGGGGAGCAAACAGG